UACGUAGGGCGCAAGCGUUGUCCGGAAUUAUUGGGCGUAAAGAGCUCGUAGGCGGUUUGUCGCGUCUGCUGUGAAAACCCGGGGCUCAACCCCGGGCCUGCAGUCGAUACGGGCAGACUAGAGUGCGGUAGGGGAGACUGGAAUUCCUGGUGUAGCGGUGAAAUGCGCAGAUAUCAGGAGGAACACCGGUGGCGAAGGCGGGUCUCUGGGCCGUAACUGACGCUGAGGAGCGAAAGCGUGGGGAGCGAACAGG
rnacentral:rRNA from 1 species